GACGAACGCUGGCGGCGCGCCUAACACAUGCAAGUCGAACGGUUAAACCCCCUUCUUGUGUGUAGAAAGUGGCGAACGGCUGAGUGACACGUGUGCAACCUGCCCCCCUCAUUGUGCUAGCCACUGAAAACCGUGGAUAAUACCGAAUACUUCAGGUCCUGCGCCUGGGAGACGCUAGGAAAGUCCGGCGGAGGGGGAUGGGCCCGCGGCCUGUUAGCUUGUUGGUGGGGUAAUGGCCUACCAAGGCCAUGAAGGGUAGCUGGGCUGAGAGGGCGACCAGCCAGAUUGGGACUGAGACACGGCCCAGACUCCUACGGGAGGCAGCAGUGGGGAAUCUUGCACAAUGGGCGAAAGCCUGAUGCAGCGACGCCGCGUGCGGGAUGAAGGCCUUCGGGUUGUAAACCGCUUUCAGCAGGGACGAGGCGAGAGUGACGGUACCUGGAGAAGAAGCCCCGGCUAACUACGUG
rnacentral:rRNA from 1 species